rnacentral:misc_RNA from 1 species
GAUGAAGAACGCAGCGAAAUGCGAUAAGUAAUGUGAAUUGCAGAAUUCAGUGAAUCAUCGAAUCUUUGAACGCACAUUGCGCCCCCUGGUAUUCCGGGGGGCAUGCCUGUCCGAGCGUCAUUACAACCCUCAAGCUCAGCUUGGUAUUGGGCCCCGCCGACCCGGCGGGCCCUAAAGUCAGUGGCGGUGCCGUCCGGCUCCGAGCGUAGUAAUUCUUCUCGCUCUGGAGGUCCGGUCGUGUGCUCGCCAGCAACCCCCAAUUUUUUUCAGGUUGACCUCGGAUCAGGUAGGAAUACCCGCCGAACUUAAGCAUAUCAAUAAGCGGAGGA